GAUGAACGCUAGCUACAGGCUUAACACAUGCAAGUCGAGGGACCGGCGCACGGGUGAGUAACACGUAUCCAACCUGCCCUUUACUCGGGGAUAGCCUUUCGAAAGAAAGAUUAAUACCCUAUGAAAAGGAUGGGGAUGCGUUCCAUUAGGUUGUUGGUGAGGUAACGGCUCACCAAGCCUUCGAUGGAUAGGGGUUCUGAGAGGAAGGUACCCUACAUUGGAAACGAGGCCCGGUCCAAACUCGUACGGGAGGCAGCAGUGAGGAAUAUUGGUCAAUCGGCGUUAGCGUGAACCAGCCAAGUAGAGUGAAGGAGGAAGAGUUAUGGGUCGUAAACUUCUUGUAUGUAAGAAUAUGUAUUAUAUGAAUAAGGAUCGGCUAACUCCGUGCCAGCAGCCGCGGUAAUAC
rnacentral:rRNA from 1 species